AGAAACACAUUCCCUUACAAUUGUCCUGAAGCCACCAGUACAGUGUUACAACAGAGGAAGAAUACAAAAUUAAUUAAUUAAAAACAACAUUAAGGGUGAAAAAAAACAAAAAUUAAAUAUAAAUUAUUUUGUCUAUGCUGCGACUGACCGCUAAUCAGCUAUUUACGGUUAUAAAACAUUUUAUAUUUUUAAUAAAAAUUACAUACAGCUUUAAGUGCUCAAGUAAAACUUAUAAAUUCAUAUUUUAAUGACACUGACAUUCUUUCAAUAUUUUAUGUCAGUGCCCACUGACCCUUUGCAGUUACGUCACUAACUAAUUCGAGGCGUCAUGAUGGACGUCGGAAGUGAGGGACGGGAGCGACUGAAACAGUUUUCCAAAGUUGUUUUUUUGCCGGUUAUUCGUGGCUUCUACUUGUUUAAGUCGAGCUAAUUUGUGAACGUAACUCACCCGGUUGGGGCUCAUAUACGGCGAUAUGUAGAAAAGUUGGAAACAGCUAGCUUAGAAACCGACCCGUACCUCCUCCCUCCUGACGUGUUGAUCAAAUUACUGACUUUGCCUGAAUUCACACCACAUGAUUUAUAUCACUACGUCAUAAAGUGCGUUUACCUUUACACCGGAGCAGCCUUAAAAACGUAUAAAAGACGAGACUAAACAUUCUUUUCCAUACAUGCCCUAGCAUGUAGGCUACAUGACGGUGCGGCAUUGUCUCCAUGGUUACCAACGGUUAGACGCGACUUUUCCAUAAUGCAGUGUUUGAUAUCUUUCUAAUCACAUUUAAGGUACGUGAACGUUAAUCUUCUUUCCUUGUAAAAAGUGUUUGCAGCUAAUGUUCAGGUUAAUCGCGUUCGCUAACGCGUUACCGUUGACAGUAUUAUGUGCAAGAGAAAAUAAAAACAGCGGAGGCAUCCUACCCUCAAACAACUUCCGCAAAAAGACCAGAAUAUAGCCAUCUGCAUAUUCUAGGUGAACUGAACUAAAAAGCACUUGUGUUGCACAUAAUGCUAGCUGAGAAAUAACCGAAGUUAGCUUUAGCAAAUAAGCGAGAGUAGCUCAAUAUAACCACGUAAAAUAUAUUUUCGUACUCAAACAAAAACAAAAGUGCAAUACAAUGUUUUUUUAAAUAGUACUUACCAGGUGAAAGUCAUUGUUGGCCCGCCAUCUAACCCGUGGAAGUUCGCCUCUAGCCGGUAAAUAUCCCCCAAUGCAACUGUACAUUAAAAAUUGACAGUGCAGCUGUACUGCAUUAUCUCCGAUCUGGUUUCACACUUUGCUUUAUUUGUUUGCCAUAUAAAGCAGGUCUGGGGACCUGGGUAAAUUUGCAAUUUCUUCCAAGUCUUUAAGCAGUCGCAUCUUUUCAUACAGGUGGAUCUGUGUCACACAGCACUCAGUUUUUCUCCAAGAAGCUUCUCUUUUCAAUUCCCUCGGGUAGCGAUGGCGUGGUUUGCCACAGUUCUUGAAGAAGAAAAUGUAAGUACUGUUGAAGGUCGACAAUCAGUUUAAGUAAAGUUUGUGGUUCUGACGGACAAGGGCAAAGCAAAGGGAUGGGGAUUUGAGCGUUGUUGUGACUUUGAUUUUUGUAGCCUGCAGCUUCUGAGGUUUGAUUGUCAGGUACCUCAGGGACGUUUUCUACCUGGACAUUUACAUGGGAGACACCAUGUCAUCAGGGUCUUUCCUUCGGUUUGGUCAUCAGGGACAUUCUCUACCUGGAUGUGUUCUGGUUCAUAAAAAGUUAAGACACUGUUUUGUUCAUGUCCUCACAUGUCAAUGGCUCUUUCUCUCCCCCGAUUAUCCUCUGUCUCUGGUGUUUUAGAUUCAUAUUUAGUGGCCAGUUGAGGAGUGGAGAAGACAGUUUCCUUGACCAGUGAAGUGCGCUGCAUUUCAGUAAUUUCAAGAGAAAUCUUCUGGUCAAUGGGGCCGCGUAACUCCAACAAGGUCUGAAAUGAAAGCUUCUUCCUCUCAGGUGGCCGUGUCUCCGAUAGCUCAUCCACUAUCUCCUGUGUUUGGGAGAUGCUUUCAUUUUCAGUGACCAGUUGAGUAGAGAAGACAGUUUCCCUGGUACGAGCCUCCUUUUCUAAGGCGUCUGCCAGAUCUCCUUGUUUUUCCAGAAGAGAACUAUCACAUCCACAUCUUCAGUGGAGGAAAUCAUACAAACUGAUCUCGGAGGGAAAUCUUUUUCUGAGGUCUUCUUGAGAUCCUGAAUUUGCAAUCACAGCUUGCUUAUUCUAAUGUUCUGAGGAAUCUGCCAGAUUUCCUUGUUUUUCAGGAACAAAGCUAUCCUGCCUUUCUACACUUUGAGUGGAUGGCUUUGGAGUCACGCAGAUGUGCGAUGCAGGGAAAUUCUUCCUCAUCACCGGUGUCUUCUUGACAUGUUUGGACUUAGAGCCGUGUUUCUUCUCCUGUGUUGUAUCCAUGGUUUCCAGUAUUGUCAUCAAAACGAUGUUUGCGUUCUUCAAACCACAUUUUGAAUGGUAAUUUCAUUUUCUUGUUGUGCCUCGUCUUAUGGUUGUUUUAAAAUGUGACAAUCCCCUUUAUUUCUCCUUUUAUUCCCAAGAAAGCACCAGGCUUCCUCUUUGUAGAAGAAUAAGUUAUACUGAAGCAGAGCGUGACGUCACGUCCAAACGGUCAACAGAAAAAUAAUUCUGUUAAAUACAUUUACUGUAAAUCUGACCUGAAACCAUCUAAAGUUUUACUUUGAGACUCAUCUUCCAUGAACUCAGUUUGUUCUGUCUGACAGGGCAGGUCAAAGGUCGGCGUCAGUGCAUCAUAGUGUUUAUGUAAAAACACAGCCGGUCGGUCACAAGCAGAGCUGACUGACCGGAUCAGGAGCCGAGUCAGGCAAGCAAGACGCAGCCUCUCUGCAGCUGCACUUUGUGAUUAUUGUGCGUUUUCUUCUUCCCGCUGGGAGGGAAAGAUGCUCUGUGCGAAAUAAGAGACGGCUGCUGAUGUUUCAUCACUGUCACCGUUUAUUUCUGGUCGACUACAUCGCAGGCGAUCUGUCCUUUCCAGAUGCUGUCACUCGGAAACGCAGACAAAGUUCAAAAUGUGUGAUUAACGAUAUUAAAAAGCAUAAUUAGAUAAAUACAUUAGCACUCUGCUGGAGGAAAAAAGUGUGGUGCAAUUUGAUUAAAAUUUUAAUGCGAGUUAAUUACAGGGUCUGUAAAUAAUUAAUUGCAAUGAAUCACUAUCUAAUAAAAACUUAAAUAGAUAUAGAUAGAUACAUAUAAUCAUAAAUAGGAGUAACUUUGGAAAGAAUGGACUUUUAGGAGUAGUUUUACUACACUGUACUUUUAACAUGAGUAACAUUCUUGAAUCUGCUUCUUUACCGCAUUAAUAUGAGGUUACACCGUGCUGCUGAUGUUUUCAUCUUCUUCCAGUCUGUGAUCGCCAUCAGUAACUGCGCUGUCUGCGCUUUUUCAUGUGGAGCAAAUGUGACGCUCAACCAAAAACCUGAUAAACACACAGCCUGUGCUGCCCCCUGUUGGACGCCUACAGACUGACAACAGAGCAUCCAAAAAAUGCCAAGCUGAAUCAAGCAUCUGUGUUUAUUUAUGACCCAGCUGGAUAAUCUCUGACCCACUUUCUGCAUCUGGAUGAAACCGUGUGGGAUGUACUGAUCUCCCUCUGAGCCUGUUGUAAACAAAAUAUAAAAUUAGCUGAGUGCAAAAAAAAAUAUGACUUUAAGUGUCAAAAUGUUAAAAGUGGUUGAUGGAGGAAUUGUUGUCAGAUGUUAGCGGAGCGGUUUUAUUUCUGUCAGUCUUGUUGAGAUUUUUCGCUGUUAGUCAGCAGGUUUUUUCUUGAUGUGUGACACAAAUUUAACAAUAUAUUCACUCUGUGAGUUUAUUUUUGUAACCAAUAAAAAUGCAAAACAUCACAUCAUCACAUUUUAUCUCCAGCGGUCAUUUUGGCGAAAGAAUAGGUCGCAACUCAGAAAAAAAACAGUUUUAUCUGUUUAUCUUUGGUUUAGUUUUU